rnacentral:rRNA from 1 species
GACGAACGCUGGCGGCGUGCUUAACACAUGCAAGUCGAACGGAAAGGCCCUGCUUUUGUGGGGUGCUCGAGUGGCGAACGGGUGAGUAAAACGUGAGUAACCUGCCCUUGACUUUGGGAUAACUUCAGGAAACUGGGGAUAAUACCGGAUAGGAGCUACUGCUGCAUGGUGGGGGUUGGAAAGAUUCGGCGGUUGGGGAUGGACUCGCGGCUUAUCAGCUUGUUGGUGGGGUAGUGGCUUACCAAGGCUUUGACGGGUAGCCGGCCUGAGAGGGUGACCGGCCACAUUGGUACUGAGAUACGGCCCAGACUCCUACGGGAGGCAGCGGUGGGGAAUAUUGCACAAUGGGCGGAAGCCUGAUGCAGCAACGCCGCGUGCGGGAUGACGGCCUUCUGGUUGUAAACCGCUUUCUCCGGUGACGAAGCGUGAUUGACGGUAAUGGGUAAAGAAGCACCGGCUAACUACGUG